GGUUAAUUAAUUAUUAUUAGUGUUAGGUUGUUGGUUAUAAAAUAAGUAGGUUAGGGUUUUAUUAUUGAUUAAGAAAUAAUGAGUUUAAUUAUAGUUAAUGAGUAUUGUGAAAGAAAUUGUGGUUCUAAUUAAAAGAAGAAUUUAAUUUUUGUACCUUGUGUAUCAGGGUUUACUAAAAAAAUCUUAUAUAUUUAAUUUUCUCGAACUUAGAAGAGCGAUUUGGUUAUUGAUUUUAUUGUUGAAUAAAUAUUUAUAAUAACUGGUUAGUAAUGAAAUGUUAUACGUUUCUAAAUAUAUCUAGUUUUCUCAGAAAUGGAUUUAAUUUAGCUUGGCUUGUAAAGUUAAUUUAUUUAAUAAUUUAUUUUAAUGGUGAGGUAAUAUAUUAGGGGAUGAGCUUUAGUGUAUAUUGUUAUAAGUAGGUAAAAGUUGGCAGAAUAGGUAGGAUUAGAAUUUUCCAUUCGUUAGAAGAAUGUUAUAAUUGGUUUUGUUAAAUAUUUUAUUUUUAUUGACUUUAAAUUUUUUAUGGGAAUGUAGUUUUUAAUUUUGAUUAAUUAGUAAAAAUGGUUAAAUUAGUAUAGUUAAAUUUAUAAAUAAGGUUAAUUUUAAGGUUAAUAAAAGGAAUUCGGCAAAUGAUUUUUCACCUGUUUAUUAAAAACAUGGCCUUUUGAUUAUGAUUUAAGGUCUAGCCUGCCCGCUGAGGGUUUAAAUGGCCGCGGUACUCUGACCGUGCGAAGGUAGCAUAAUAAUUAGUUUUUUAAUUGAAAGCUGGAAUGAAUGGUUGGAUGAGAAAAUUACUGUCUCUUGUUAAUUUUUAUUAAAAUUUUAUUUUUGAGUAAAAAAGCUCAAAUUUUAUUGAAAGACGAGAAGACCCUAUAGAGUUUUAUAAAGUGGAAUGUUUUUCUUUUUUUUUUAGUAUUUUAAAUGGGGAUAUUUUUUUUUAUUUGGUUGGGGUGAUCAAAAAAUUAAUUAAACUUUUUUUUUAUUUUUACACUUAUUUGUGGGUUCUUGAUCCGUUUAUAACGAUUAUAAGAUAAAAUUACCUUAGGGAUAACAGCGUAAUUUCUUUUGAGAGUUCUAAUCGAAGAAGAAGUUUGCGACCUCGAUGUUGGAUUAAAAUUAAUUUUUGGUGUAGAAGCUAAAAAUUUUAGGUCUGUUCGACCUUUGAAAUUUUACAUGAUCUGAGUUUAGACCGGCGUGAGCCAGGUUGGUUUCUAUCUUUAGUAGGUUAAUAUAUUCUAGUACGAAAGGACCGAAUAUUUGGUAAGUUAUUUAUUUUUGAAUAUUAUU
rnacentral:rRNA from 1 species